UUAACUAUUAUAUAGUACUCAGACGUCACUAAAACAAAAGAGUUUGGGUCCUCUGGCGGGCACGGUCAGCCGGAGCCGACGCCGCGAGGCGGCCCGCCAAAGCAACAAAGAAAGUAUACACGGGUGUUAGUUAUAAACCUGAAGCCGCAUUACUGCAGGCACCGCGAGAGUCAGCCAGCGUCCUUUCAGAGGCCGGAUAACCCCUCCCCCAUUCCAUUCCGCGACGGGUUGUUCUUGCGAACGAACCGCCGGUUCCUGAACUUGAGGGUGGUUAAACACGUGGUCACGAUCCUAGCCUUUCGACAGGACACAACUAUUAAUGAUCCUUCCGCAGGUUCACCUACGGAAA
rnacentral:misc_RNA from 1 species